GGGCGCAUAGUGUAGUGGAUAUCACGCUGGCCUUCUAAGCCGGCAACCGGGGUUCGAAUCCCCGUGUGCCCG
rnacentral:tRNA from 1 species